CCUGAGAGGAAGAAGAGAGACAGAACUCUUUGGGGCACAGAACUGAGUGGAACGGCAGACUUGGGAAACUGUGAGCAAGAAAACUACCUGCUGUUUGUCUCUCCUGUGCUACAUGUCUUGUAAAUGGAUUCUCCACAACCACACUUGCACCAGUACUUGUCAUAUUUUCCUCUGCACCUGCUGUGGAACUCAACCUGUCUAGAUGUCAUGGCACAGGAGUUUCCAUCCAUGCCGCUGCCCAUCUUUCACAACUCCCCUCUCCCUGAGUCCAGAUGUCCUGGGUUCAGUCUGAUACUUUGAAGUCGAAUGGGAGCGAUCCAUACAC